UGUUAAAAAGCUUAGAGCUAUCAAGUUUCGGCCUUGAGAGUGGGUUUUAUUCCCUUUUAAUAA
rnacentral:tRNA from 1 species